rnacentral:rRNA from 1 species
GAUGAACGCUGGCGGCGUGCCUAACACAUGCAAGUCGAGCGAAGCGAUUUAACGGAAGUUUUCGGAUGGAAGUUAAAUUGACUGAGCGGGCGACGGGUGAGUACGCGUGGGUAACCUGCCUCAUACAGGGGGAUAACAGUUAGAAAUGACUGCUAAUACCGCAUAAGCGCACAGCAUCGCAUGAUGCAGUGUGAAAAACUCCGGUGGUAUGAGAUGGACCCGCGUCUGAUUAGCUAGUUGGUGAGGUAACGGCUCACCAAGGCGACGAUCAGUAGCCGACCUGAGAGGGUGAUCGGCCACAUUGGGACUGAGACACGGCCCAA